rnacentral:tRNA from 1 species
GCGCCUGUAGCUCAGUUGGACAGAGCAACGGAUUUCUAAUCCGUCGGUCGGGGGUUCGAUUCCCUCCAGGCGCGCCA